rnacentral:rRNA from 1 species
GACGAACCGUGCGAACGUUGUUCGGAAUCACUGGGCUUAAAGGGCGCGUAGGCGGCUUGCCAAGUCGGUGGUGAAAUCCUGCAGCUUAACUGUAGAAGUGCCUCCGAUACUGGCGAGCUCGAGGGAGGUAGGGGUCUGUGGAACUUCUGGUGGAGCGGUGAAAUGCGUUGAUAUCAGAAGGAACGCCGGUGGCGAAAGCGACGGACUGGACCUCUUCUGACGCUGAGGCGCGAAAGCCAGGGGAGCAAACGGG